UGGUGGGGGAGGUGAGGGACCUGGAUAAAGGCUAGGGGAGCGCUGGCCCGAAAAAGGUUGAGAAACACUGAGAUAGCCCAUCACUAGCAUGCGGCCUCCUCAUCUCCAACAAAGAACCCAUUCUAUAAAGAAUUAACUGGAAUCUGAAUCACUUCUAGAGCACCCAAAGAGAGACCUAACCCUGGAACCCACAGUAUCUCCUCUUUGGCUAAAGUCUCCUUCUAAAACAAAAAACAGACGACCCCCGUAGCCCCUCCCAAGGACCAGACUCAGAUUCUCACAUUCUUAUCAUUGUUGAAAUAAACUUUAUUUAUCUGAUUAUCUAUUCUCCUGGUGGUGUUCUGUAUGUCGGUAAAGAAACUGGAACCCAACAUGACAUUUACAGUAUCUUGCAAAAGGAAUCUGACCUCUUAAUAUGUUCCAUUUUCUCAGCUCUAAUCCACAAACCUCAGUGUGUUUCAUUUGGGCCAUCUUUAUGCAACAGGAAGCACUGCUAAAGUUGAAAAUAGCUGUGACAGUGAUCCAGAUUCCACCUGAAAUGGCAAUGCCUCAAUCUAGUGAACGAUAAAAGGAGCAGCAAGAAGCCCAAAGAAAUUUUUUUGGCUUGACAAAAUGUCCUCCACUGCAAGGAAGGUCAGCUGCCUUGACCUUUUGACCAAACAUUUUACACAUGCUCAAAGCAAAAGUUUAAAAGAAAUGCAAAAGGAAAACAUUCUGUACCAUGGUUGGUCAACCGUCUU